UAUCUAUAUAUGUAUCAAAUACAUUAAUCUGAUACAUACGUCUGAUGCAUGUUUACUUGAUACUUGUGAUUGACACAUUAAUCCAUUUUGAUAAAAUGAUUUUGAUACAUAAAUAUUGAUGGACUUUGAUAUCAAAAACAAUAUACACACACCUACUAACCUAAUAGAUACAUAAAAAAAUUAUUAUUUUUAAUACAUGAGCAUGCAUGUACAUUCAUAUGUAUUAUGAACAAAAAAUUGCAUUCUUUUUUAUGAUUAUACAUGUGCAGUGAUUUAUCUGUAUAUAUCAUAAAAAGAAAAUUAAUGAGUUGAUAUUCUUCUCCAUCUUCACCCUUCCAUUUUACAAAAUCUUCUUCAACACCACUACCAUUUAACUAUCUCAACCUCCAUUGAAAAGCAGCCAAAUAUGCGAAUAACUCCUGCACUCUCCACCGUCUUUCCAUCAUGACAACUCUAUCUCUAGCGAACUCGAGUCACCAGAAACAUCACCUCUAUCCCACCGUUACUUCACUUCCACCACCGCACCACCUUCAGAUACACAAAAUCAGUCACAAUACUCAUUCUUCAUUUUAAAAAAACAUUAGAAAACAACCAUCAAUUUCGAUCAAAAAUACCAGUAAUAUACCUAUUUAAUUUUCUCCAUUAAACCUACAAUUAGAGCCCACCUCCUCCUCUACAAACUUCCCAUUUCUCACUAUUUCUAACCCAUUUCAUCAAUUUUCUAACAUACCCAUUUCAUUCUUCUUCUUAUUUUAUAUCAAUUCAUAUUUAUUUGGAGAAGUAAAAAGAUGAAAAAAAUAAAAUUUAUAUAUGGGAAGUUGAAGAAGAUUGAAUAAAAAUGAGGAAUUAAUGAUAAUUUUGGGAUGAGAAAAUUUGAAAUAUUGUGAUGUGCGAUUUGGGGUU
rnacentral:lncRNA from 1 species